rnacentral:rRNA from 1 species
UACGGGGGGGGCAAGCGUUGUUCGGAAUCACUGGGCGUAAAGCGCACGUAGGCGGCUUACUAAGUCAGGGGUGAAAUCCUGGAGCUCAACUCCAGAACUGCCUUUGAUACUGGUGAGCUUGAGUCCGGAAGAGGUGAGUGGAACUGCGAGUGUAGAGGUGAAAUUCGUAGAUAUUCGCAAGAACACCAGUGGCGAAGGCGGCUCACUGGUCCGGUACUGACGCUGAGGUGCGAAAGCGUGGGGAGCAAACAGG